AGUGAACGCUGGCGGUAGGCCUAACACAUGCAAGUCGAACGGCAGCACAGUAAGAGCUUGCUCUUACGGGUGGCGAGUGGCGGACGGGUGAGGAAUACAUCGGAAUCUACUUUUUCGUGGGGAUAACGUAGGGAAACUUACGCUAAUACCGCAUACGACCUACGGGUGAAAGCAGGGGAUCUUCGGACCUUGCGCGAUUGAAUGAGCCGAUGUCGGAUUAGCUAGUUGGCGGGGUAAAGGCCCACCAAGGCGACGAUCCGUAGCUGGUCUGAGAGGAUGAUCAGCCACACUGGAACUGAGACACGGUCCAGACUCCUACGGGAGGCAGCAGUGGGGAAUAUUGGACAAUGGGCGCAAGCCUGAUCCAGCCAUACCGCGUGGGUGAAGAAGGCCUUCGGGUUGUAAAGCCCCUUUGUUGGGAAAGAAAAGCAGCAGGUUAAUACCCCGCUGUUCUGACGGUACCCAAAGAAUAAGCACCGGCUAACUUCGUG
rnacentral:rRNA from 1 species